rnacentral:rRNA from 1 species
UAGGGAAUAUUAGAAAUGGACGAAAGUCUGAUCUAGCGACACCGCGUGUGCGAUGAAGGCCUUCGGGUUGUAAAGCACUUUUUGGAAGGAAUAGGAAGGAAGGUACUUCCAGAAUAAGUCUCGGCUAACUACGUGCCAGCAGCCGCGGUAACACGUAGGAGGCAAACGUUAUCCGGAUUUACUGGGCGUAAAGCGCGUGUAGGUGGUUCUGUAAGUAGGGCGUGAAAGCUCCCGGCUCAACUGGGAGAGGCCGUUCUAAACUGCAGAACUAGAGGAUGGUAGAGGGAGGUGGAAUUCCGGGUGUAGCGGUGGAAUGCGCAGAUAUCCGGAGGAACACCAGUGGCGAAAGCGGCUCACUGGGUCUUUUCUGACGCUGAUGCACGAAGGCUAGGGGAGCGAAGA